rnacentral:rRNA from 1 species
ACUCUUGGAUGGGACCUCGCGGUGCAUUAGCUAGUUGGUAGGGGUAAACGGGCCUACCAAGGCGAUGAUGCAUAGCCCGAGUUGAGAGACUGAUCGGCCACAUUGGGACUGAGACACGGCCCAAACUCCUACGGGAGGCAGCAGUAGGGAAUCUUCCACAAUGGACGCAAGUCUGAUGGAGCAACGCCGCGUGAGUGAAGUAAGGGUUUCGGCUCGUAAAGCUCUGUUGUUGGUGAAGAAGGACAGGGGGUAGUAACUGACCUUUGUUUGACGGUAAUCAGUUAGAAAGUCACGGGCUAACUACGUGCCAGCAGCCGCGGUAAAU